UACAGAGGGUGCAAGCGUUAAUCGGAAUUACUGGGCGUAAAGGGCUCGUAGGCGGCCAACUAAGUCAGACGUGAAAUCCCUCGGCUUAACCGGGGAACUGCCUCUGAUACUGGAUGGCUUGAGAUUGGGAGAGGGAUGCGGAAUUCCAGGUGUAGCGGUGAAAUGCGUAGAUAUCUGGAGGAACACCGGUGGCGAAAGCGGCUCACUGGACCGUCUCUGACGCUGAGGUGCGAAAGCCAGGGUAGCGAACGGG
rnacentral:rRNA from 1 species